CGGCCGCGGUAUUUUGACCGUGCGAAGGUAGCGCAAUCACUUGUCUUUUAAAUGAAGACCUGUAUGAAUGGCAUUACGAGGGCUAAGCUGUCUCCUCUUUUAAGUCAAUGAAAUUGAUCUCCCCGUGCAGAAGCGGGGAUAAUCCCAUAAGACGAGAAGACCCUAUGGAGCUUUAGACACCAAGGCAGCUCAUGUCAAAAACCCUGAGAUAAAAGACCAAACCAAACGAACUCUGCCCUAAUGUCUUUGGUUGGGGCGACCGCGGGGAGAUAAAUAACCCCCAUGUGGAAUGGGAACAACCCAUCCUAGAACUAAGACCUGCAGGUCUAAGCAACAGAACUUCUGACCUACCAGAUCCGGCAAUGCCGAUCAACGAACCGAGUUACCCUAGGGAUAACAGCGCAAUCCCCUUUUAGAGCCCAUAUCGACAAGGGGGUUUACGACCUCGAUGUUGGAUCAGGACAUCCUAAUGGUGCAACCGCUAU
rnacentral:rRNA from 1 species